rnacentral:rRNA from 1 species
UACGUAGGGUCCGAGCGUUGUCCGGAAUUAUUGGGCGUAAAGAGCUCGUAGGUGGUUUGUCGCGUUGUUCGUGAAAUCUCACGGCUUAACUGUGAGCGUGCGGGCGAUACGGGCAGACUAGAGUACUGCAGGGGAGACUGGAAUUCCUGGUGUAGCGGUGGAAUGCGCAGAUAUCAGGAGGAACACCGGUGGCGAAGGCGGGUCUCUGGGCAGUAACUGACGCUGAGGAGCGAAAGCGUGGGGAGCGAACAGG